CACACAAAAGGACAUGAUCGGUCAGACGAGUGAUGAUAACCAUAGCAUCGUGUAAUAGCUCGACUUUUCUGGGUUUUACUUUCUGUUUUUUCCUUUAAUUUUCAAAAUCCAAAAGAACCCAAUUGAUUUCAUCCAUGUUCGAGGUCGACGAAGCCAAGCCACCAACAGUCACAGCUCACCGUACUUUGAGCAGUUGGUUGGUUUUUACCUGAAUCUGCUUCAAUUUGGAUUUUGCAAGUGAUGGAUGAGCUUGAUUCUGGUGAUUUGGUUUCGAUUAAGUGAAUUUGAGGAAAAUCAAUCACAACUUUUGUUGUCUUGUCGGAAAAGAGAGAAGACGAUUGUGUAUAAACGUAGAAUGACCGAUUUUUGGGUCACACGAUUUCACGUUUCAACGGCCGCAUAAUGUUAAACCACACUUUCUGCGGUCAAGAAUCGGUAUGGCGUUGAAAGCAACCGUAUUGGCUCAACUCGCCUCGGUGAGCUCACGUUUCACGAGUACUCGGCCGAUUACGCGCCUACUCGGCCGCGUUUUAGAACUGCAGCCUGCAGUUUAUAUUUAAUAAAUUGAAUUGGACAUGGAUUCAGAAUUUUUGGAUUCGAUCUCAGACAGGGGAGAGAGAGAGCCACGUGUUUGUUUCGACACGCGCCAGCGUGUACGAUGUCAAUGUUACAUUACAUCGGGAGGCAUAACGAACAAGACAACGACAAUGGCGGAGAAGAGCCAAAUCCCCGAUAAUAAUAACAGCGCCACGUCUUCGUCGGGGAAGAAACCUGCGGCGGAGGUCGGAUCCGGUUCGAGCAAUCCGGGUCAGAAGAUGUCGUAUCCAAACCGACCGGAGUCGGUGAAUCCGGAUCAGGCGACGCUGAGGGAGCAGUGGAAGUUCGCAAUAAGGCAGUACAGCAAGUGGUACUCACACGCUUGGGGCACUGCUAUUCUCGCCGGCGGCGUCUUCUUCGGACUCGGUUGGAUCAUCAAAGGCUCCAAUCCUCUUCCUUCCCUCCAAUCUAGUUCUAAGCAUCCUAAACGCGAUGAAGACAAAUGAUUCCGCGUCUGCGUUUCGGGGUGAGACUCUUCUUGGUUCAGUUGAGUAUCGCGAAUCUUAGGUUUAGGACUAUAUGGACUCUGUUUUGUUACUGAUUAAGCUCAGAAUAAGGAAGAUGAUUAUAUUAUCUUACAACUCACAUCUUGGAGAAACUAUACUAAAUGUGGGAAAGAAGCAUAAGAUGAGAGAUGGUGCAUCAACAAUGUCACAUCUGUAUGUACAUUUCAAGGAUCAUCGGACGUAAGAAGCAGAGAGAGAGAGAGAGAGCACAAAGCGAUUACGGUUGUAGAGUAGAAACUUUUAAAAAAAAAACUUGAAUAUAAACUUUGUUUUGUA